UACGAAGGGGGCUAGCGUUGCUCGGAAUCACUGGGCGUAAAGCGCACGUAGGCGGAUUCUUAAGUCGGUGGUGAAAUCCUGGAGCUCAACUCCAGAACUGCCUUCGAUGCUGAGAGUCUUGAGUUCGGGAGAGGUGAGUGGAACUGCGAGUGUAGAGGUGAAAUUCGUAGAUAUUCGCAAGAACACCAGUGGCGAAGGCGGCUCACUGGCCCGAUACUGACGCUGAGGUGCGAAAGCGUGGGGAGCAAACAGG
rnacentral:rRNA from 1 species